rnacentral:misc_RNA from 1 species
GAUAAGAACGCAGCGAAAUGCGAUAACUAAUGUGAAUUGCAGAAUUCAGUGAAUCAUCGAGUCUUUGAACGCACAUUGCGCCCCCUGGUAUUCCGGGGGGCAUGCCUGUCCGAGCGUCAUUGCUGCCCUCAAGCCCGGCUUGUGUGUUGGGUCGCCGUCCCCCUCUCCGGGGGGACGGGCCCGAAAGGCAGCGGCGGCACCGCGUCCGAUCCUCGAGCGUAUGGGGCUUUGUCACAUGCUCUGUAGGAUUGGCCGGCGCCUGCCGACGUUUUCCAACCAUUCUUUCCAGGUUGACCUCGGAUCAGGUAGGGAUACCCGCUGAACUUAAGCAUAUCAAUAAGCGGAGGA